GAUGAACGCUAGCGAUAGGCCUAACACAUGCAAGUCGAGGGGCAUCACAUGAAGUAGCAAUACGGAUGGUGGCGACCGGCGCACGGGUGAGUAACACGUAUGCAACCUGCCUUCAACAAGGGGAUAACCCGUUGAAAGACGGACUAAUACCCUAUAACACAGGGGUCCCGCAUGGGAAUAUUUGUUAAAGGACAACCGGUUGAAGAUGGGCAUGCGUUCCAUUAGCUAGUUGGCGGGGUAACGGCCCACCAAGGCAACGAUGGAUAGGGGAACUGAGAGGUUUAUCCCCCACACUGGUACUGAGACACGGACCAGACUCCUACGGGAGGCAGCAGUGAGGAAUAUUGGUCAAUGGACGCAAGUCUGAACCAGCCACGUCGCGUGAAGGAAGACGGCCCCUACGGGUUGUAAACUUCUUUUAUACGGGAAUAAAGUGCCCCACGCGUGGGGUUUUGUCGAUGUACCG
rnacentral:rRNA from 1 species